GGUUAAGCGACUAAGCGUACACGGUGGAUGCCCUGGCAGUCAGAGGCGAUGAAGGGCGUGCUAAUCUGCGAUAAGCGCCGGUAAGGUGAUAUGAACCGUUAUAACCGGCGAUACCCGAAUGGGGAAACCCAGUGUGAUUCGUCACACUAUCAUUAACUGAAUCCA
rnacentral:rRNA from 3 species